rnacentral:rRNA from 1 species
UACGUAGGGGGCUAGCGUUGUCCGGAAUCAUUGGGCGUAAAGAGCGUGUAGGCGGCUCGGUAAGUCCGCUGUGAAAGUCCAGGGCUCAACCCUGGAAUGCCAGUGGAAACUGUCGAGCUAGAGUCCGGAAGAGGCGAGUGGAAUUCCUGGUGUAGCGGUGAAAUGCGCAGAUAUCAGGAGGAACACCAAUGGCGAAGGCAGCUCGCUGGGACGGUACUGACGCUGAGACGCGAAGGCGUGGGGAGCAAACAGG